rnacentral:sRNA from 1 species
UUGAAAUGUUGUACUAUUGCCUUUAUG